CUACGGGUUGCAGCAGUGGGGAAUAUUGGACAAUGGGGGAAACCCUGAUCCAGCAAUGCCGCGUGUGAAGAAGGCCUGCGGGUUGUAAAGCACUUUCGGUUGGGAGGACUGCUUCUAGCACUAAUAUUGUUGGAAGUUGACGUUACCUUCAGAAGAAGCACCGGCUAACUCCGUGCCAGCAGCCGCGGUAAUACGGAGGGUGCAAGCGUUAAUCGGAAUUACUGGGCGUAAAGCGCGCGUAGGCGGCUAGAUCAGUCGGGUGUGAAAGCCCCGGGCUUAACCUGGGAACUGCAUCCGAUACUGUCUAGCUAGAGUACAGGAGAGGAGAGUGGAAUUCCACAUGUAGCGGUGAAAUGCGUAGAUAUGUGGAGGAACACCAAUGGCGAAGGCAGCUCUCUGGCCUGAUACUGACGCCGAGGUGCGAAAGCGUGGGGAGCAAACAGGAUUAGAUACCCUUGUAGUC
rnacentral:rRNA from 1 species